GGGGGUGUAGCUCAUAUGGUAGAGCGCUCGCUUUGCAUGCGAGAGGCAUCCAACGUCAGUUUUACGUAUUUUGAGGCACGCAGUUCGAUUCCCCGCCCUCA
rnacentral:tRNA from 1 species